AGCAGCCAAGGAAGAAGGAGAAGCCUGAGGCAGGAGCAAUGUCUGACACUGCUGGGGGAUGAAGAACCCCGGGGUGAUGCAUUCUAAAGUGCUGUGAAUGUACUUUCUUUCAUCUGCCAACAUCUCUCUUGUAAAACGGCAAACCAGAAAUCUAAUCCAGCAGAUGUGCUGCUUGUUGCAGCAAAUGAUGGUGAUGGUCUAGUGACUUGGCAUAAAAACCGUUGGGGAAAAAGACAGCAUAACUCCAAAAGAGAGGGAGAGCCAGCUUAAUUACAAACCUGAGAGCUACUUCACUGCUCUGGAAUGCUUUUGGAAGUAAAGGAUACCCUGAGGAAUCCAGGAUCCCCUGCUACCAUCUGCAUGGCCUUGGUUUCUGCUUCAGAUCCCUUCACUUUCUCAAAUGGCUGCAAUGGAAAGGCCUCACCUUGAGUAGCAGGUCCAGUCUGGGGCACAACAGACGCAGGAAAAACAGAAUGACAAAAAAAAACCUGGAGGUCUAGAAAACAUCCCAUAUGAAGAAAGGUUGGAAGAACUGGGAUAAUUUUGCCUGGAGAAGAGAAGACCAAGGGGUGUAAAUUGGUAACAGUCAUCAAAUACA